AAUGAACGUUGGCGGCAUGGAUUAGGCAUGCAAGUCGAGCGAGUAGUGUAGCAAUACACGGAAAGCGGCGGAAGGGAGAGUAAUACGUGGGAAUCUGCCCUUAGACCUGGGAUAGCAGCGGGAAACGGCUGGUAAUACCAGAUAAUGUCUACGGACCAAAGGUGUGAUUCCGUCUAGGGAUGAGCCCACGUCCUAUUAGCUAGUUGCUAGGGUAAUGGCCUACCAAGGCGAUGGUGGGUAGCGGGUGUGAGAGCAUGACCCGCCUCACUGGGACUGAGACACUGCCCAGACACCUACGGGUGGCUGCAGUCGAGAAUCUUCGGCAAUGGGCGCAAGCCUGACCGAGCGAUGCCGCGUGCGGGAUGAAGGCCUUCGGGUUGUAAACCGCUGUCGAGGGGGAGCAAAUUCCAUAGAGUUAUCUUUAUGGAUUGAGUGAUCCCUGGAGGAAGGACGGGCUAAGUUCGUGCCAGCAGCCGCCGUAAAAC
rnacentral:rRNA from 1 species